rnacentral:rRNA from 1 species
CAAUUGAGAUUUUAACACGAAGUGAGUGGCGAACGGGUGAGUAACACGUGGGUAACCUGCCCAGAAGUAGGGGAUAACACCUGGAAACAGAUGCUAAUACCGUAUAAUAGAGAAAACCGCAUGGUUUUCUUUUGAAAGAUGGCUCUGCUAUCACUUCUGGAUGGACCCGCGGCGCAUUAGCUAGUUGGUAAGGUAAAGGCUUACCAAGGCAGUGAUGCGUAGCCGACCUGAGAGGGUAAUCGGCCACAUUGGGACUGAGACACGGCCCAGACUCCUACGGGAGGCAGCAGUAGGGAAUCUUCCACAAUGGACGCAAGUCUGAUGGAGCAACGCCGCGUGAGUGAAGAAGGGUUUCGGCUCGUAAAGCUCUGUUGUUAAAGAAGAACGUGGGUGAGAGUAACUGUUCACCCAGUGACGGUAUUUAACCAGAAAGCCACGGCUAACUACGUGCCAGCAGCCGCGGUAAUACG